GGGUGAGUAACACGUGGAUAACCUACCUAUAAGACUGGGAUAACUUCGGGAAACCGUAGCUAAUACCGGAUAAUAUUUUGAACCGCAUGGUUCAAAAGUGAAAGACGGUCUUGCUGUCACUUAUGGAUGGAUCCGCGCUGCAUUAGCUAGUUGGUAAGGUAACGGCUUACCAAGGCAACGAUGCAUAGCCGACCUGAGAGGGUGAUCGGCCACACUGGAACUGAGACACGGUCCAG
rnacentral:rRNA from 1 species